rnacentral:rRNA from 1 species
AACACUGACGCUCAUGCACGAAAGCGUGGGGAGCAAACAGGAUUAGAUACCCUGGUAGUCCACGCCCUAAACGAUGUCAACUAGUUGUUGGGGAUUCAUUUCCUUAGUAACGUAGCUAACGCGUGAAGUAGACCGCCUGGGGAGUACGGUCGCCAGAUUAAAACUCAAAGGAAUCGACGGGGACCCGCACAAGCGGUGGAUGAUGUGGAUCAACUCGAUGCAACGCGAAAAAGCGCACCUACCCUUGACAUGCCACUAACGAAGCAGACAUGCAUUAGCGUGCUCGAAAGAGAAAGUGGACACAGGUGCUGCAUGGCUCUCGUCAGCUCGUGUCGUGAGAUGUUGGGUUAAGUCCCGCAACGAGCGCAACCCUGGUCUCUAGUUGCUACGAAAGGGCACUCUAGAGAGACGGCCGGUGACAAACCGGAGGAAGGUGGGGAUGACGUCAAGUCCUCAUGGCCGUUAUGGGUAGGGCUUCACACGUCAUACAAUGGUGCAUACAGAGGGUUGCCAAGCCGCGAGGUGGAGCUAAUCCCAGAAAAUGCAUCGUAGUCCGGAUCGUAGUCUGCAACUCGACUACGUGAAGCUGGAAUCGCUAGUAAUCGCGGAUCAGCAUGCCGCGGUGAUACGUUCCC